rnacentral:rRNA from 1 species
CAGUCGUACUUGCGGAUAAUCAGCCUUUCGGGUGCGAUUCUGUGGGGCGUGAGGAGCUUAACCGCCUUCAUGUUUUGCAUAUUCGUGCACAUUUGGUGUACUUGUCCGUGUGGUGGGUUAACAUCAGUUUCGGUCGUCAUAAAAUGAUUGGAGGAAUGUGGCACCUCCGGGUGUGUUAUAGCCCCCUUGCUGUAUACACUGGUUGGGAUUGGAGGUUUCAGUGCACGCUUCGGUUGUGCUUUGAUGCUGGCGUAAUGGCUUUAAGCGACCCGUCUUGAAACACGGACCAAGGAGUCUAACGAUAUAUGCGAGUGUUU